UACGUAGGGGCCAAGCGUUGUCCGGAUUUAUUGGGCGUAAAGAGCUCGUAGGCGGUUUGUCGCGUCUGCUGUGAAAACUCGGGGCUUAACCCCGGGCCUGCAGUGGGUACGGGCAGACUAGAGUGCGGUAGGGGAGACUGGAAUUCCUGGUGUAGCGGUGAAAUGCGCAGAUAUCAGGAGGAACACCGGUGGCGAAGGCGGGUCUCUGGGCCGUAACUGACGCUGAGGAGCGAAAGCGUGGGGAGCGAACAGG
rnacentral:rRNA from 1 species